rnacentral:lncRNA from 1 species
UAUGUAUAUGUGUUUUCUGAGACAGGGUCUGGCUUUGUCGCCCAGGCUGGAGUGCAGUGGCGCCAUCUUGGCUCACUGCAACCCCCAUCUCCAAGAUUCAAGCUAUUCUCAUGCCUCCUCCUCUCAAGUAGCUGGGAAUACAAUAGUGUGCCACCACACCCGGCUGGUCUUGACCUCCUGGCCUCAGGUGAUCUGCCCGCAUUGGC